GAUGAACGCUGGCGGCGUGCCUAAUACAUGCAAGUCGAGCGAACAGAUAAGGAGCUUGCUCCUUUGACGUUAGCGGCGGACGGGUGAGUAACACGUGGGUAACCUACCUAUAAGACUGGAAUAACUCCGGGAAACCGGGGCUAAUGCCGGAUAACAUUUAGAACCGCAUGGUUCUAAAGUGAAAGAUGGUUUUGCUAUCACUUAUAGAUGGACCCGCGCCGUAUUAGCUAGUUGGUAAGGUAACGGCUUACCAAGGCAACGAUACGUAGACGACCUGAGAGGGUGAUCGGCCACACUGGAACUGAGACACGGUCCAGAAUCCUACGGGAGGCAGCAGUAGGGAAUCUGCCGCAAUGGGAGAAAGCCUGACGGAGCAACGACGAGUGAGUGAUGAAGGUCUUCGGAUCGUAAAACUCUGUUAUUAGGGAAGAACAAAUGUGUAAGUAACUGUGCACGUCUUGACGGUAACUAAUCAGAAAGCCACGGCUAACUACGUG
rnacentral:rRNA from 1 species